AGAGUUUGAUCAUGGCUCAGGAUGAACGCUAGCGACAGGCCUAACACAUGCAAGUCGAGGGGUAACAGGGAAGCUUGCUUCCGCUGACGACCGGCGCACGGGUGCGUAACGCGUAUGAAACCUGCCUUAUACUGGGGGAUAGCCCGAAGAAAUUCGGAUUAAUACCCCAUAACACUACAAAAUCGCAUGAUUUAGUAGUUAAAACUCCGGUGGUAUAAGAUGGUCAUGCGUGACAUUAGCUAGUUGGUGAGGUAACGGCUCACCAAGGCAACGAUGUCUAGGGGUUCUGAGAGGAAGGUCCCCCACACUGGUACUGAGACACGGACCAGACUCCUACGGGAGGCAGCAGUGAGGAAUAUUGGUCAAUGGACGCAAGUCUGAACCAGCCAUGUCGCGUGCAGGAAGACUGCCCUAUGGGUUGUAAACUGCUUUUAUAUGGGAAGAAAUAUAGUUACGUGUAAUUAUUUGCCGGUACCAUAUGAAUAAGCAUCGGCUAACUCCGUGCCAGCAGCCGCGGUAAUACGGAGGAUGCGAGCGUUAUCCGGAUUCAUUGGGUUUAAAGGGUGCGUAGGCGG
rnacentral:rRNA from 1 species